rnacentral:lncRNA from 1 species
UCAAUGUACAAAUCUGGGGUCCGUUUCACGUAGCAGGUUUAGUGGAAACUCCGAGUUUGUUAACCCUGAAAUCAGGGAAACUCUGAGUUUUCCGUUUCACAAAGGAGGGUUAGUUAAACCAGGGAGAGAGGGGUAACUCUAACCUGUUUCACAAAGAGAGGUAACUCAACCUCGCGGUCAGUUACCACAGUAACAGACUCCGUGAACCUAACCUGCUCGGGAGCAGGUUUAACUCAGUAAACCCAGAGUUUCAGGUGAGACAUCGGCAUUUUCUCAUUUUGAUCAUGUUUUACAUUGUCAAGUAAGUAUUGAGUGGCAGUUUGAUCCCUUAAAAAAUGCUCUUUUCACACUCAAAACUGAAUUUUACUCUCUUAUUAUGUUCCGUUAAAUGAUUAGGAAUAUUAAACUAACACAAAAACGGGUGGUGGUCCAGCAGCCCCACCUUUAACGGAGGCAGAGGAGCUGCCCCCCACCUCCCCCGUUCGACGAUCGCGGCCGGUCCGAUCGCAAAUCCCCCCCCCCCCCCCCCCACACACACACACACACACACACACACAGACACACGCACACGCACACUAGUCCGACGAUCGCUGCUACGGGGUGGGAGUUGCGAUCGUCGAAGGGGGGGGGCAGCUCCUUGCCUCCGUUAAAGGUGGGGCUGCUGGACCACCACCCGUUUUUCUGGCAUCUGCCCUCUUUCUGUUUGCUGAGUGAAAGUCUAAUAUUGAGUGUAGUGUGUGUUAGUUUAAUAUAUGUACAUAUACAUACUGAGAGUUAGUUUAAUAUUCCUAAUCAUUUAACGGAACAUCAUAAGAGAGUAAAAUUCAUUUUUGAGUGUGAAAAGAGCAUUUUCUAAGGGAUCAAACUGCCACUUAAUACUUACUUGACAAUGUAAAACAUGAUCAAAAUGAUUCAAGCAGUUUCCCUGCAACAGUCUGUCAUUGUGAUUGCACGAGACUAGAUUUAAAGUUACGCAUUGACGCGAGCAGCGAUUUCCUCCCAUGCCCCCUCCCUCUCCUUUACAGCUGCUGCUGUAUUGCACUUUCUUUUAAAAACGUGCUGUAAUUCGCUGUUGGCUUGCUGCUGCCCCCUCCUUCUCCCUGUUUCCAUUGGUUGAUCAUUGAAUCUGCGCUCCACAGAUGCUGGCUGUUCAUGUCUGGCGUGCACGUGCUUAACUCCAGGUCAAACUACUCGGAGUUGUUAAAACCGUCUCAAAUCAGGUGUUGUGAAACCGGAAACUCAGAGUUUCCUAACUCAGAGUAGAUCAACUCAGAGUUAAGGAUUUAACUCAGAGUUUGUUGAACCACCUACGUGAAACGGACCCCAGUACUUUUGUUUCAUUACUCAGUUGCUUCUUUCUAGCCAUUUUUGCGGUAGUUUAAACGCAGUUGAGAUUCAUUAGGAUUUUUGUAUGCAGACUCUCAAAAGCCAAAAAGUUGAAGUGAGUAAUCCAACUGUGAUUUGUUUUUUUGCUUUUGCACUGAAGUUGUGACUCUUGCAAAUGUUUUCAACCCUAAAACUAAGCCCUUAUUAUCUUUUGCUGACAUAUAUUGAGCAAUGGUCUGUUAACAUCAAUGUAUAUCUAAAAGUAAAUGGAGUAAAAUGGAGCAUUUCCAUGAAAGCAACAUCUGAUCAUGGAGUAAAUAAAUCCCAAAAUACAUAUAACUCAUGCUGGAUUUUUAAAAAAGCAUUGUGAACAAAAACUUGAGGUUACUCCCAAGUGUUUGGCCUGUAAUGGCCUUGCUUCCAAGCUUUUGGCCUGUAUUGUAAUUUUUAAGGUGUUUUGGUUUAACUAAUUGGCCUAGUGUACCAGGGUGUAAAACUAAACAACUUUCUACUUUUAAUUUAUUAGUGAGUAGAUUAUUAUUAUCAUCAUCAUCAUCAUCAUUAUUAUCAUCAUUAUUAUUAUUAUUAUUAUUAUUAGUAGUAGUAGUAGUAGUAGUGUUAAACUGGCAGCAAGAGGAGCCAGAAAACAAGUGAAUCACAACCACCGACCACCAGGGGAUAUGCUUACCAUGUGCUGUCAAGGCUUUAGAGAUUUUUGAGCGUGGAUGAUUGCAGCAGAAUCUGGACGCACAUAGGAUGAGUAGGAAGAAGAGGACCAGUGGCCUCGUUGCUGCAGAGAGGCAGUUGAUAAUCCUUGCAUGGCUGCUGAGGUUGCCGCGCCAAUUCUGAAUCAAUGGCCUGAGUAGUGCUCUGGGGAUAUAUUACAUCUUGAGAGUGUUUGAUCAAGGUGGGAGCUAAACCAUGAUUUGGACGUUGGGUUAUUAUCUGGAGUCAAAAAGAGAGAUGACUGCAAGUAGGAGUGAGGUCUGUUUUUCAAGUAUUUGCACAUUAACUUACGUAUAAGGGCAGAGUUCUGGGGUCCGUUUCACGUAGCAGGUUUAGUGGAAACUCCGAGUUUGUUAACCCUGAAAUCAGGGAAACUCUGAGUUUUCCGUUUCACAAAGGAGGGUUAGUUAAACCAGGGAGAGAGGGGUAACUCUAACCUGUUUCACAAAGAGAGGUAACUCAACCUCGCGGUCAGUUACCACAGUAACAGACUCCGUGAACCUAACCUGCUCGGGGGCAGGUUUAACUCAGUAAACCCAGAGUUUCAGCUGAGACAUCGGCAUUUUCUCAUUUUGAUCAUGUUUUACAUUGUCAAGUAAGUAUUGAGUGGCAGUUUGAUCCCUUAAAAAAUGCUCUUUUCACACUCAAAACUGAAUUUUACUCUCUUAUUAUGUUCCGUUAAAUGAUUAGGAAUAUUAAACUAACACAAAAACGGGUGGUGGUCCAGCAGCCCCACCUUU